UACGUAGGGUGCGAGCGUUGUCCGGAAUUACUGGGCGUAAAGAGCUCGUAGGUGGUUUGUCGCGUUGUUCGUGAAAACUCACAGCUUAACUGUGGGCGUGCGGGCGAUACGGGGCAGACUGGAGUACUGCAGGGGGAGACUGGAAUUCCUGGUGUAGCGGUGGAAUGCGCAGAUAUCAGGAGGAACACCGGGUGGCGAAGGCGGGU
rnacentral:rRNA from 1 species